rnacentral:rRNA from 1 species
GAUGAACGCUGGCGGCGCGCCUAACACAUGCAAGUCGAACGAUUAAAGCACCUUCGGGUGUGUAUAAAGUGGCGAACGGCUGAGUAACACGUGGGCAACCUGCCCCUUUCAUUGGGAUAGCCACGGGAAACCGUGGAUAAUACCGAAUACUUCGAGACUUCCGCAUGGAAGACUCGAGAAAGCUCCGGCGGAGAGGGAUGGGCCCGCGGCCUGUUAGCUUGUUGGUGGGGUAACGGCCUACCAAGGCAAUGAUGGGUAGCUGGGUUGAGAGACCGACCAGCCAGAUUGGGACUGAGACACGGCACAGACUCCUACGGGAGGCAGCAGUGGGGAAUCUUGCACAAUGGGCGAAAGCCUGAUGCAGCGACGCCGCGUGCGGGAUGAAGGCCUUCGGGUUGUAAACCGCUUUCAGCAGGGACGAGGCGAAAGUGACGGUACCUGCAGAAGAAGCCCCGGCUAACUACGUG